UAUUGGACAAUGGGCGCAAGCCUGAUCCAGCCAUGCCGCGUGAGUGAUGAAGGCCUUAGGGUUGUAAAGCUCUUUCAGUGGGGACGAUAAUGACGGUACCCACAGAUGAAGCCCCGGCUAACUUCGUGCCAGCAGCCGCGGUAAUACGAAGGGGGCUAGCGUUGUUCGGAUUUACUGGGCGUAAAGCGCACGUAGGCGGAUCGUUAAGUCGGGGGUGAAAUCCUGGAGCUCAACUCCAGAACUGCCUUCGAUACUGGCGAUCUUGAGUCCGGAAGAGGUGAGUGGAACUCCUAGUGUAGAGGUGGAAUUCGUAGAUAUUAGGAAGAACACCAGUGGCGAAGGCGGCUCACUGGUCCGGUACCGACGCUGAGGUGCGAAAGCGUGGGGAGCAAACAGGA
rnacentral:rRNA from 1 species